CAACCUCUGCAGUCUGGCCAUUCCCCAGCCCAGGCUGGGAGAGUACCUCUUUGAAAGGUUCACCCUAAGGCACAACCAGGAGC
rnacentral:pre_miRNA from 1 species